rnacentral:rRNA from 1 species
AACAGAUUUGCUUCGGUAAUGACGUUAGGAAAGCGAGCGGCGGAUGGGUGAGUAACACGUGGGGAACCUGCCCCAUAGUCUGGGAUACCACUUGGAAACAGGUGCUAAUACCGGAUAAGAAAGCAGAUCGCAUGAUCAGCUUUUAAAAGGCGGCGUAAGCUGUCGCUAUGGGAUGGCCCCGCGGUGCAUUAGCUAGUUGGUAAGGUAAAGGCUUACCAAGGCGAUGAUGCAUAGCCGAGUUGAGAGACUGAUCGGCCACAUUGGGACUGAGACACGGCCCAAACUCCUACGGGAGGCAGCAGUAGGGAAUCUUCCACAAUGGACGCAAGUCUGAUGGAGCAACGCCGCGUGAGUGAAGAAGGUUUUCGGAUCGUAAAGCUCUGUUGUUGGUGAA